UCAUCUUUUGCUCCUGAUAGCUCUGCCUUCCCUCCAGCAACUCCUAGAACUGAGUUCCCUGAAACCUGGGGCACUGACACCCCUCCAGCAACGCCCCGGAGCUCCUGGCCCAUGCCUCGCCCAAGCCCCGAUCCCAUGGCUGAACUGGAGCAGUUGUUGGGCAGCGCCAGUGAUUACAUCCAGUCAGUAUUCAAGCGGCCUGAGGCCCUGCCUACCAAGCCCAAGGUCAAGGUGGAGGCACCCUCUUCCUCCCCGGCCCCGGCCCCAUCCCCUGUACUUCAGAGGGAGGCUCCCACGCCAUCCUCGGAGCCCGACACCCACCAGAAGGCCCAGACCGCCCUGCAGCAGCACCUCCACCACAAGCGCAGCCUCUUCCUAGAACAGGUGCACGACACCUCCUUCCCUGCUCCUUCGGAGCCUUCUGCUCCUGGCUGGUGGCCCCCACCAAGCUCACCUGCCCCACGGCUUCCAGACAGACCACCCAAGGAGAAGAAGAAGAAGCUCCCAACACCAGCUGGAGGUCCCGUGGGAACGGAGAAAGCUGCCCCUGGGAUCAAGCCCAGUGUCCGAAAGCCCAUUCAGAUCAAGAAGUCCAGGCCCCGGGAAGCACAGCCCCUCUUCCCACCUGUCCGACAGAUUGUCCUGGAAGGGCUUAGGUCCCCAGCCUCCCAGGAAGUGCAGGCUCAUCCACCGGCCCCUCUGCCUGCCUCACAGGGCUCUGCUGUGCCCCUGCCCCCAGAACCUUCUCUUGCGCUAUUUGCACCUAGUCCCUCCAGGGACAGCCUGCUGCCCCCUACUCAGGAAAUGAGGUCCCCCAGCCCCAUGACAACCUUGCAGCCAGGCUCCACUGGCCCUCUUCCCCCUGCCGAUGACAAGCUGGAAGAGCUCAUCCGGCAGUUUGAGGCUGAAUUUGGAGAUAGCUUUGGGCUUCCCGGCCCCCCUUCUGUGCCCAUUCAGGACCCCGAGAACCAGCAAACAUGUCUCCCAGCCCCUGAGAGCCCCUUUGCUACCCGUUCCCCCAAGCAAAUCAAGAUUGAGUCUUCGGGGGCUGUGACUGUGCUCUCAACCACCUGCUUCCAUUCAGAGGAGGGAGGACAGGAGGCCACACCCACCAAGGCUGAGAACCCACUCACACCCACCCUCAGUGGCUUCUUGGAGUCACCUCUUAAGUACCUGGACACACCCACCAAGAGUCUGCUGGACACACCUGCCAAGAGAGCCCAGGCCGAGUUCCCCACCUGCGAUUGCGUCGAACAAAUAGUGGAGAAAGAUGAAGGUCCAUAUUAUACUCACCUGGGAUCUGGCCCCACGGUCGCCUCUAUCCGGGAACUCAUGGAGGAGCGGUGAGUGAUACACAGAUGUCCAAGGAGAAAUGGGUGUGCUGUUAAUGGAAUAUGGAUAUUAAGCACCUCUCAUUUUUCAUUGCCUUGUAAUAGACAAUAUACAGAAAGGAAACCCUGAUAACGGGGUUAGGGAAGGCUGACUGUGGGAGCUUCACUUCCAUUGUUUCUGGGUUUCUUUCAUUCUGUAGGUCUGCCCAAUUCAUGUCCCCCUGCUUCUCUCUGUCUUGAAAUGUUUUUAUGGUUAUAUGGCUCUAUGUCCUGUAGA
rnacentral:sRNA from 1 species